rnacentral:rRNA from 1 species
UACAGAGGGUGCGAGCGUUAAUCGGAGUUACUGGGCGUAAAGGGCGCGUAGGCGGUUAUAUAAGUGAGAUGUGAAAUCCCUGGGCUUAACCUAGGAACUGCAUCUCAUACUGUAUGACUGGAUAUUGUAGAGGGUAGUGGAAUUUCCGGUGUAGCGGUGAAAUGCGUAGAGAUCGGAAGGAACACCAGUGGCGAAGGCGGCUACCUGGACAAAUACUGACGCUGAGGCGCGAGAGCGUGGGGAGCAAACAGG